UAUCAUCGGUUCUCUCUAUUUAUCGAGACUCCCCUCUUUUUUUUUAUAAAGCAGCACACACUAUCUCUUAAUUUAUCAACAUUGCAUCUCUCUCUUUCUCACAACAGUGCUCGGCUCUCUCUCUCUCUCUCUCUCUCUCUCUCACCAUCCUCCCAUCUGCCUCCCCCAUUCUCGCGCCCGUGUCCGAAGGCAGACGGCCAUGGAGGAAACGCCACCGCCGCCGCUCGCCUGCUUCGGCCGAGUUCAGCGGCGUCGGGUGCCGCCUUGCACCGUCCUGCCUCAAACCGCGCCGCCUCGCCUGCCUUCACCGUGAGCAGCCACGGGCUGCCACCACUCAUGCGGCGCCGGCCGCCGCAUCAUCGUCAGCCCGGCAUCGGGCCUCCGACAACCUCCCCCUCUUCUCUUCACUCAUUCCCAAACCAAAACAGCAAAAUGAAAUUCUCGGAUUUGUAAAGAUUUGAUUUUUGGUGCAUUGGUCAAGGCUGAACUCAAGAAGAAAAUGGAGAAGUUUAAGUUGAGCUUACCUCUUGGGGUCCAGAUUGCAGCUGAAAUAAACUCUCUAUGAUUUUUGGUGCAUAAAGGAAGGAGGGGGAAUCGUAGUUGGUGAUUUUCAGGCUACUAUGAAGCCCUCAAUUUAUAGGCAGAUUAGGCCGCAAAACUUGAAAACUAUUUACAGCAAAUGUGGAAAUUUUGCUGCAAAUUUUUGACAAAAAUGAAAUUGGUUGGUGGCUGCCAUAAUUUUUUUUUUUGACUAAUAGUGGAAUUUCAUGUGAGACUUUGAAAAGUGGAGUACUCAUAGGGUGCGUCUGAUCCUAGUUGUAUCUUAGCAUGCUUCAAAUAUUAAAUUGUGACUUUUGCAGGGAAAAGAGUAUGACCUUAGCAGAGUUAAAGAAAAGGGGCUGCUAUGCGUGUACUAUCUAUAUUUUAUUUCUUGAUUUUGUAUACUCUAUUGAUAGUGUAGGAGCGUAGGGAGUGUGAAAGAAAAAUGAUGAUUGUAAGUAAAUAGAAUUGAGGUGACUAAUAAAAAUCUCUUGCCUUGAUUAAUUAAUCAAGUAUUUGUAAAACAAA